AAUUGUUUUCAUUGUUCAAGUGCCACGUUUUCAUUUGAAAGCUUCGACUGAAGAAAAAAAUAAAAAAUUAAACAAAUAAAUACCAUGGGACAAAGGUAUGUUUGAGACAAAAGUCUGAGAUCAUCAAUGCCAUGCGCUAUCGUUAGUGUAGCAUGAAGCUAACAGCUAGAUUGUUUGUAAAAUAUCAUUUAUUGUCUAUUAGGUAGCAUGCAGAUAAAUAUAUUAAUAUCCCCAUUGUCAUCAGUUGGUAGAUAAGUUUUUAGAAAACUGAUUGGUUAGAAGGCUUGAAUGUAUUUCGGUCGAGCUUUACAGUGCAGCAGGUCAAAGAGAGAAUGGACUAAUUAGGUGUGUGGAUCACAUUUUUGCUGUUUUUCCUAGUGUAUACUGUUAUUAAUAAUAAUAAUUAAUAAAAUAAUAAUUUAUUAGUAAAAAGCUCAUUUUGGGUACCAUGUUGGUCUAUGUUUUAUUCAAACUAAUUACAGACGAGUGAUAGACUUUCUUUAAUGACAGGAAGAACAUGAUUCAGUGUCCACUAGAGAGUAGAUCCAGUUCCUUUGCAACAAGUGUGAAUAUUGCUGAGAUAAUAUGGUUGCUAAAAGUAGGUUAGCAAUCUGUUGAUGUCUUUUUAUCUUCUCUUUCUACAGUUGGUGCAUUAUCAUCAUCAUCUCUGUCUUUCUGCUGUAUGUCACAGGUGAGAAUUCAAACAUUUUAAAUGAAACUUCAUGUCACAUGCAGAAUGAUGAAUGGUGUGUUUGCUGUUUUUAGGUUCUUUCUCUGCUCCUGUGAGGGUCACAGUUGAGGGUUUUGUUGGAGACUUUGCUUUCUUUCCUUGUUGGAUUGUUCGAUUGUUCGAUGAAAGUGCGCUUCAAGGCAAAACAGAAGAAUUUGAAGUAUUCUGGAGAGAUGAUGAAGGCAAGAAAGUGUGUGACAUCACUGGAGGCAACAGAAUAUGUAAAGAUCCAAAGUACAAGGACAGAGUCGAAACGUUCCCAGAGGAGUAUAAGAAGGGCAACUUCUCCAUCAAACUCAGCAGUCUUCAUAAAACUGAUGCAAGGAAGUACCACUGUCACAUCACAGGACCAUCUCAGAAUCACACCAUCACAGAGCUUCAUGUCAAAGGCUUUCUAUCCUAAUAUCUCUUCUUCCUUUCAAGCCUUAUCUCUCUCUUACCAUGUACAAUCAGCAGUCUUCAUAAAACUGAUGCAAGGAAGUACAACUGUUACAUCACAGGACCAUCUCAGAAUCACACCAUCACAGAGCUUCAUGUUGAAGAUAGAGCAGGAGGAAGAGGCAACCACGGAAGACUAAAGAUUGAUGGAGAACUACAAUCAAUUGUCUUUUUUUUAGUCCGAUUUUUCUUAGCUGGCAUACUGAAUUUAAUGUUUGUAGCAAUCAGUUUUGGCAUAGUAAGGGUUUUAUUCAGUUACUAGGGUAGAAUGAAAGUAUUUUUUACUCCGUUUAAAAAAUAAUAAAUAAAUAAAUAAAAUUCUUUGGUAUUUCAACCUGAACAUUUCAGACAUGAAGAACCCAAGCACAGUAUAAUAUUAGGAAACUUGACUUUACUAGAUGAUUAAAAUGGUCAGGAAAUAUAAACCAUCACAUGCAAUGACAAAUUAAACAUAAUAGCUGCAUAUACACAAGUUACCUAAAAGAGACUUUUAACAUACAUGAACAUCAAAAUAAAAGUCUGAGUAUUUAAAUUCAUAAAAACUAAACAAAUUGUUACAACAAUUGUCCUUGAAUCCAUUUUAGGAAAUAAUAAUAAUAAUUUUUACAAUCUCUAUCCAAACAACAUUUGUAAAAACUAAAUCUAAAUUUACUAAAACAACUUAAAACAGCACAAAACGACCCACUCAUUUCAUCACAAUUUUCAGACAAAUAAGUGUUAAAUAAGGGUGAUAUACUGCCACCCUUCACAAGGCUUUACACAAGUAUUUUUGAUUUAGUUUUUUUUGCCUCCUGUAUUCACUCAUCUUUCAGUUGAAAACUUGUGUGACUGACCACUGUUACCAAAACCC
rnacentral:lncRNA from 1 species